rnacentral:rRNA from 1 species
UACGUAGGUGGCAAGCGUUGUCCGGAAUUAUUGGGCGUAAAGCGCGCGCAGGCGGUCCUUUAAGUCUGAUGUGAAAGCCCACGGCUCAACCGUGGAGGGUCAUUGGAAACUGGGGGACUUGAGUGCAGAAGAGGAGAGUGGAAUUCCACGUGUAGCGGUGGAAAUGCGUAGAGAUGUGGAGGAACACCAGUGGCGAAGGCAGCCUCC